UACGUAGGGUGCGAGCGUUAAUCGGAAUUACUGGGCGUAAAGCGUGCGCAGGCGGUUUGUUAAGCGAGAUGUGAAAGCCCCGGGCUCAACCUGGGAACCGCAUUUCGAACUGGCAAACUAGAGUCUUGUAGAGGGGGGUAGAAUUCCAGGUGUAGCGGUGAAAUGCGUAGAGAUCUGGAGGAAUACCGGUGGCGAAGGCGGCCCCCUGGACAAAGACUGACGCUCAUGCACGAAAGCGUGGGGAGCAAACAGG
rnacentral:rRNA from 1 species